rnacentral:rRNA from 1 species
UACAGAGGUCCCAAGCGUUUGUUCGGAUUCACUGGGCGUAAAGGGUGCGUAGGCGGGUCUUUUAAGUCAGGGGUGAAAUCCUGGAGCUCAACUCCAGAACUGCCUUUGAUACUGAGGAUCUUGAGUUCGGGGAGAGGUGAGUGGAACUGCGAGUGUAGAGGUGAAAUUCGUAGAUAUUCGCAAGAACACCAGUGGCGAAGGCGGCUCACUGGCCCGAUACUGACGCUGAGGCACGAAAAGCGUGGGGAGCAAACAGG